rnacentral:rRNA from 1 species
GAACAUAAGAGUUUGAUCCUGGCUCAGAUUGAACGCUGGCGGCAUGCUUUACACAUGCAAGUCGGACGGCAGCACGAGUACUUGUACUUGGUGGCGAGUGGCGAACGGGUGAGUAAUAUAUUGGAACGUACCGAGUAAUGGGGGAUAACUAUCCGAAAGGAUAGC